rnacentral:rRNA from 1 species
GACGAACGCUGGCGGCGUGCUUAACACAUGCAAGUCGAACGGAAAGGCCCUUCGGGGUACUCGAGUGGCGAACGGGUGAGUAACACGUGGGUGAUCUGCCCUGCACUUUGGGAUAAGCCUGGGAAACUGGGUCUAAUACCGAAUAGGACUACGCUCUUCAUGGGGUGUGGUGGAAAGCUUUUGCGGUGUGGGAUGGGCCCGCGGCCUAUCAGCUUGUUGGUGGGGUAAUGGCCUACCAAGGCGACGACGGGUAGCCGGCCUGAGAGGGUGACCGGCCACACUGGGACUGAGAUACGGCCCAGACUCCUACGGGAGGCAGCAGUGGGGAAUAUUGCACAAUGGGCGCAAGCCUGAUGCAGCGACGCCGCGUGAGGGAUGACGGCCUCGGUUGUAACUCUUCAUAGGACGAAGCG